GCAGUGAUUGUAUAAUGGUUAGUACUCUGCGUUGUGGCCGCAGCCACCCCGGUUCGAAUCCAGGUCACGGCA
rnacentral:tRNA from 1 species